AAAAAUGAAAAUUAAAAUUAGAAAUGAACUCCUAAAAUCUAUUUGUAUCUUCUCACCAUUCAUCUUCCGUCAACUCUGUCGGAAAGUGUUGCAACUAUGUUGGAGGAUGUCGAAAACUCCAGAUCCAGCGUCUGUUGUCGAGUUCCAGCUUAGAUUAGCUCGAUGUUCCAGAUUCAAGGUAUGCAACUUGCUUCAUCGAAAUUGGUUUGUGGGGUGAUUUGAUUUGUUUGACUGUAUUGGCAAAGGUUGUUGAUGAGGGUUGUCCAGUAUUGGAUAGAAUAUGCAAAGUUGGCCUGGCUUCCGAUGGUGGUGGCUGGCCUAUGUCCAUCAUGGCCAUGAUGACCGGCGGCAGAGAUUAGGUUUAGCUAAAAUUUUGAAAGAUUUCGUAAUCUUUCUAUAGCUGAAUGAUUAUAUACUUAUUUAUUGGGGGGAAAAUACUAUCUACUAGGUUUAUAUUUCUCAAUAGCUUGAUAAUGCAUUUUUGUUCUAAUCAACCUAUA